GCCAGACAAUAACAAAUCUACAUCCAGCAUGUCAUUUCGGAUGGUAUUAUCAAACGAGAGUAGUUUUAGCUGUAAACUAAAUUAAAACUAUGAAGUUCCCCAUCAAACUAUGUAGCUGAAGACUCCGUAAUCCAGAUUCCACAGUUAACACUGAUCAAAUUAGCCAAUGAACAGCCAGAAGACCAUAAGAUGCAUGACAAAGCAUCUUAAAAUUCAGGAUGGGUGAAGCACGAACAAACAGGCAUAUGUUGCAAUGUAACUUGAGUUGAAAGUGUACAAUCAGCAGGAAUUAAUCAUCAAAUUAGCCUGAUUGUUUUGCUAGUUGUCAAUCAAAUUAAAACUAGUAAGUUCCCCAGCAACCAAGCAGAUGCAAUUGAAGAUUCCCUGAUCCAGAUCCCACUGAAGAAGCACCAAUGUGAAGAACGUUCACUUCUGAAAAUUCAAGUCCACAACCAACAAACCAGAAUCAUAUUUAGUGAAGAUGACACUAAAUUGAAGACAUGAGAAAGGUAGAGUAUUCAAGGCAAACUGUUUGUUCAAGUUUCAAGUUCAGAACCUUCAAUUCUGCAUUAUUUUAGUUCAUAGCAACAAUUCCUAACCUCUCUCGGCAUAUCGAGCCAUCAACACUAUCCAACUACAAAGUCAGGAGCCCACUACUGUUAAGUGUCAACACAGUAAUAAAUAAGAGAGCCAGCACGUGAUCUUUCUUUAUCACCAAAUUUCAAAGUCUGCGCAUGCCAAAAACUAAUUUUUGUGGCAUAAGAUGAGGCUGAAGAACUCACCAGGAAAAUUAACAAACCAAGUGCAAUCAUCGAGAAUAGUAUGUAGAAUGGUAGUCCGACAAAUCCAAGCAUGAACCCAAAGCAAUUCAAGUAUAUAUGGAGAUAAUUAGAGCUCAUGUACAUGCAACCUUUACUUCUCCUGUAAGGUGAUAAAUUUGCAAGCUAAAGGCCAAAAUUUGAUUACCUACUGUACAAACUUUGAGUACGAAAGUAGGAACCUCGUUUGAGACCAAAGGAUCUUCCACCAUUUACUUCUAGCCUUUUGUAUAUUCACUGGGAGCAAAACUGAGAUCAGAUUCCAUCAAAUUGCAUGCAAGUUAGCAGACACCAUAAACCAAGUAAUAUGCUUCAGGAAAAUCAAAAGAUUCAGAUGUACACACUAACUCCAAGUUGCACCAAAGAGGAUGAAGCCACUGAAUGCCAGUUCAAACUGAAAGCUGCCACAAAGACCAAAUCAUCAAGUAAUAUGCAUCAAAAUCACUAAUCAGAAGUCAAAACCAUCAGGGAAGCAGACACAGUCGAGCCUGAUGGCUUCACCAAGUCCCUGCACCAACUGACGUUUUGCUAUACUUUCCAACUCUACAAUCUUGUACUAACACCUCCAACACUGCAAAUGCACGAACAACCCAAAUAAAAGGCAUACUUCAAAAAAUCUUCAGAAGAAGUGAGGCAUAAUUAUGAAGUCUAGGUAGAGAGUACUAAGAUUUUGAGGUUGUAGAAAACUCUUCCAUCCAGAAGCCCUGAACUCUGCGGAUCAAUUUGAAUACUCAGACUAACAACUCAGGAAACUGGUUUUCUAACCGACAAAAUAGAAAAAUACGAAAUUAGAUCUUCAAACAGAUUUUCACGUAGCAUGACAUGCUCUUAUCUUAUAUGCUCUCAAACUUGAUAAUAUGGUAACUGUUCACUUAGGAGACUUGAUUGCACAGUCUAAUUUGCUAAAGUUCAUAUGCUUAGAAGAGAAAAACUGUAUCACAAAUGGAUAUAAAACCAAAGUAUCAAUGAGUGUGCCUCAUCCUUCCCACCGGGAAGCUCUAUUUAUGAGCAUCAUAUAGACUACUUCCAGUUGGCAGCAAGGCAUGCUAAUAGGCACACAAAAAGUUAACCUGUACAUGAUGUUUAUCUCUUAUAACAUCUAUCUUUGCAAAAGAAAAAAAAUGCAGAACAACCAAAUGUCAUCUAUGGAAUAAAAGCUUAGUAUUGUUAUCUAAAAUAGCACAUCAUAAGUCACCUAUCGUAUCAUCAUUUUUUUUUUUACUAAAUCUUAGUUCCAUGUCUACCAUAAUAAAUCAUCGAUCCUCUCAUCAAGAUGCAGCUAAACCUGUGCAUUUGCCAUGGCUGAAAAGUACCAUAUGCAUCCUAAUAAGUCACCUGGAGAUAAUUUGCUUGCAUGUAUUCUAAAGGCCUAUUGCUGGCCCUGCUCUUUAGCAGACACUGGAAGUAGCCGUGGCCACCAUAAAAAAAUUAACCAUCUGAUCUGUCCUGAAAAAACAUGCCCAACCAAAAUAUAAAAAGAAGAAAGGUAAAACACAACAUGAGCUAAAUUUUAUUUUUAUUAUCUCAUUUUAAAGUGUAAAGCAUGGAUUGCACAAUUGCACACAGAAAUUAAGGAGACAUAUGUCCAGAGCAGGGUCUGUACAGACCUUCUGACCAGCACCACCGAGCAUCAAAUAGAGGCAGAAAGAAAUCAAUGGUAUGUACAAAAAUUCAGUUGCUAGUUUGCUACUAUACCAUGCUUCAUCACACACGUACUACCACACAUCAAGUGUCUGCGGUACAAUUAAGAAGAUAGAAGCUGGCAGAUCAGGUGGAAUGCAUGGUGCAAAUUUGAAUUUUUGGAACAACCAUUCUGAUAUAUAGUUUACUUGCAAUAAAAAGCCUUGCCUAAACAGUACUUCAUAGAUCAUAAUAUGUCAAUUUUGAGGUAAGGGGACCACAUGGCAAGCACGAUGUCAUGGACCAAAUUUGAGGAAUAGUCUGCUCACACCAUUUCAGUGAACAACCGACGAAGUAGAGUGAUAAUAAGUGGGUGCUUAC
rnacentral:lncRNA from 1 species